rnacentral:rRNA from 1 species
ACGGGAUGAGUAUGCGUGCCAUUAGUUAGAUGGUGAGGUAACGGCUCACCAUGACAAUGAUGGCUACGGGGUCUUAAAGGAUGGUCCCGCACACUGGUACUGAGACACGGACCAGACUCCUACGGGAGGCAGCAGUGAGGAAUAUUGGUCAAUGGGGGAAACCCUGAACCAGCCAUGCCGCGUGAAGGAUGACUGCCCUAUGGGUUGUAGACUUCUUUUUUACGAGAAGAACCGGUUCUGUUUUGAGAACUCUGACGGUAUCGUAAGAAUAAGCAUCGGCUAACUCCGUGCCAGCAGCCGCGGUAAUACGGAGGAUGCAAGCGUUAUCCGGAUUUAUUAGGUUUAAAGGGUGCGCAGGCGGGAAGAUAAGUCAGCGGUGAAAUCCUACAGCUUAACUGUAGAACUGCCGUUGAUACUGUUUUUCUUGAGUGCGGUUGAGGUAAGCGGAAUGUGCAGUGUAGCGGUGAAAUGCUUAGAUAUUGCACAGAACACCAAUUGCGAAGGCAGCUUACUAAGCCGUAACUGACGCUGAGGCACGAAAGCGCGGGGAGCGAACAGGAUUAGAUACCCUGGUAGUCCGCGCCGUAAACGAUGAUUACUCGUUGUGCGCGAUAUACAGUGCGUGACUGAGCGAAAGCAUUAAGUAAUCCACCUGGGGAGGACGUUCGCAAGAAUGAAACUCAAAGGAAUUGACGGGGGCCCGCACAAGCGGAGGAACAUGUGGUUUAAUUCGAUGAUACGCGAGGAACCUUACCCGGGCUUAAAUGGAGCGGCUCUUCGGAGUCAGAUCAAGAAAUUGACUUAAAGUUUCAAGGUGCUGCAUGGCUGUCGUCAGCUCGUGCCGUGAGGUGUCGGGUUAAGUCCCAUAACGAGCGCAACCCCUAUCAUUAGUUGCCAGCGGAUCAUGCCGGGGACUCUAAUGAGACUGCCACCGCAAGGUGAGAGGAAGGCGGGGAUGACGUCAAGUCAGCACGGCCCUUAUGUCCGGGGCUACACACGUGUUACAAUGGCCAGUACAGAGAGCUGCUACCUGGUGACAGGAUGCUAAUCUUCAAAACUGGUCUUAGUUCGGAUUGAAGUCUGCAACUCGACUUCAUGAAGCUGGAUUCGCUAGUAAUCGCAGAUCAGCAAUGCUGCGGUGAAUACGUUCCCGGGCCUUGUACACACCGCCCGUCAAGCCAUGGAAGCUGGGAGUGCCUGAAGUCUGUAACCGCAAGGAGCGGCCUAGGGUAAAACUAGUAACUGGGGCUAAGUCGGAACAAGGUA